rnacentral:rRNA from 1 species
UGGGGAAUUUUGGACAAUGGGCGCAAGCCUGAUCCAGCCAUGCCGCGUGUCUGAAGAAGGCCUUCGGGUUGUAAAGGACUUUUGUCAGGGAAGAAAAGGGCGGGGUUAAUACCCCUGUCUGAUGACGGUACCUGAAGAAUAAGCACCGGCUAACUACGUGCCAGCAGCCGCGGUAAUACGUAGGGUGCGAGCGUUAAUCGGAAUUACUGGGCGUAAAGCGGGCGCAGACGGUUACUUAAGCAGGAUGUGAAAUCCCCGGGCUCAACCUGGGAACUGCGUUCUGAACUGGGUGACUAGAGUGUGUCAGAGGGAGGUAGAAUUCCACGUGUAGCAGUGAAAUGCGUAGAGAUGUGGAGGAAUACCGAUGGAGAAGGCAGCUUCCAGGGAUAACACUGACGUUCAUGCCC